rnacentral:sRNA from 1 species
GCCAGGCAUGGGGGUGCAUGCCUGUAAUCCCAGCAGCUCAGGGGGCUGAGGCAGGAGGAUCAAAAAUUCAAAGCCAGCUUCAG